AGAGAAGAGGAAGAGGAAGAAGAGGAAGAAGAAGAAGAAGCUUUGGGGUGUG
rnacentral:sRNA from 1 species